ACCUAGUCUCACCACACCCCCAAGGGUAUUCAGCAGUGAUAGAUAUUGUCUAUAAGCGCUAGCUUGACCCAGUUAUAGAGAAGAGAGCCGGCCAACUUGGUGCCAGCCGCCGCGGCUAGACCAACUGGACUCAAAUUGAUAAUCCCCGGCGUUAAGCGUGAUUAAAGCCAUGAACAAAUUAGAGUUAAACCUACGUUGAGCAGUGAAAAGCACACGAUAGGGAAAUCCAAAAACGAAAGUUAUUCUAAUCCUUGCUUGAAUACACGACAGCUAGGACACAAACUGGGAUUAGAUACCCCACUAUGCCUAGCCGUAAACUAUUAACCUACACCCACCCGCGCCAGGGAACUACGAGCUUUAGCUUAAAACCCAAAGGACUUGACGGUGUCCCACCCAACUAGAGGAGCCUGUUCUAUAAUCGAUGACCCCCGCUCCACCCAACCCCCCCUUGCUUUAUCAGCCUGUAUACCUCCGUCGUAAACCCGCCGUAUGAAUGUACCCAAGCGGAUUUAAUGGUCCCACACCAACACGUCAGGUCAAGGUGCAGCCAAUGGGAGAGGUAAGUGAUGGGCUACAAUUUCUAGUCUAGAACAAACGAAAUUCUGCAUGAAACACAGUUAUGAAGGAGGAUUUAGUAGUAAAAAGAAAGUAGCGUGUUCUUUUUAACAUGGCCCUGGGACGUGUACACA
rnacentral:rRNA from 1 species